AUUGAACGCUGGCGGCAGGCUUAACACAUGCAAGUCGAACGAGUGGCGGACGGGUGAGUAAUGCAUGGGAAUGUAGCUUAUGGAGGGGGAUAACUACGGGAAACUGUAGCUAAUACCGCGUACCAUAGGAUGAGCCGAUGUGGGAUUAGGUAGUUGGGGGGGUAAAGGCGCACCAAGCCGACGAUCCCUAGCUGGUCUGAGAGGAUGACCAGCCACACUGGGACUGAGACACGGCCCAGACUCCUACGGGAGGCAGCAGUGGGGAAUAUUGCGCAAUGGGGGCAACCUGACGCAGCCAUGCCGCGUGAAUGAAGAAGGCCUUCGGGUUGUAAAGUUCUUUCGUUAGCGAAGCGUUAACUACAGAAGAAGCACCGGCUAACUCCGUGCCAGCAGCCGCGGUAAUUC
rnacentral:rRNA from 1 species